GUUGGAAAGCUGCAGCAGGAAAGGUAUGCUGCAGCAAAAGCAAUUAUGUUUUGAUGGGCGAGGGGGCGGGGCUUCGGAUGGGCAUGGGGGCGGAGCCUCGGAGAUAUCUUGACAGGAGGGUCUUGACAGGAGGCUGCUGUCUUUUAGGAGAGCUGGGUCCCUGGAUGUCAGAGCUGAGGGGGCAUGCAAACCAUGUGAGUAGCAGCCCACACCAGGCCCCGAGGUCUGCUAUCACCAAAAAAGAAGUCUGCCAAAUCCCGCCCAGCUAUAACUGAGGAUGAUGAGGCAGCAGGACCACCACAACGGCAAGCUGCUGCUGGGAGCCCUGACCAGUCACCUUCUGAGCCCCCCUCCCCUUCUGAUGCCCAAUCCCCCUCUCCUUCCCAGUCCCCUUCUCAGCCCCCCUCCCCUUCUGUUGCCCAAUCCCCUUCUCCUUCCUAGUCCCCUUCUUAGCCCCCCACCCCCUCUCUGGCCCCCUCCCCCUUUGUUGCCCAAUCCCCUUCUUCCCAGUCCCCUUCUCAGCCCCCCUCCCCCUCUCUUUCCCAGACCCCCUCUCUGGCCCCCUCCCCCUCUGUUGCCCAAUCCCCUUCUCCUUCCCAGUCCCCUUCUCAGCCCCCCUCCCCCUCUUUCCCAGACCCCCUCUCUGGCCCCCUCCCCCUCUGUUGCCCAAUCCCCUUCUCCUUCCCAGUCCCCUUCUCAGCCCCCCUCCCCCUCUCUUUCCCAGACCCCAUCACUGGCCCCCUCCCCCUCUGUUGCCCAAACACCCUCUCCGCCCUCCUCCCCUUCUCAAUCAGACCCACCCUCUGAAAGCAGGUACCCAAUCCCUCCUCCUUCCCCAAUCCCUCCUUCUUCCCCAAUCCCUCCUCCUUCCCCAAUCCCUCCUCCUUCCCCCAUCCAGCCUCCUUCCCCCAUCCAGCCGCCUUCCCCACCCAGUGAAUGGGCCGAAGAAGCCCCUGCGGAUAUUCCGGGGAGUCCGCAUGUGGCAGAUGCGAAUGCUGCAGUUGGAGAUCCCACCAGUUUGCCUGCACUUUUACAACGCCUAAAGGCAAUUUAAGGGCAGUAAUUGCUGAUAUUGAGGCAAUUGAGAAUUUUUUUUAAGUUUAUAAUUCUUAUUUUGUUCACAUUUUAAUUUCAGAAAAACAAAACAAAAAACAAAACAAAAAUUGUUGAAGUUAAGCGGGUGUUAUGUUUAUUUAUGCUAUAAAGGAACAGCACAUUGGCAUGCAGAAAUUGGUGACC